CCUACGGGUGGCUGCAGUGGGGAAUAUUGGACAAUGGGCGAAAGCCUGAUCCAGCCAUGCCGCGUGAGUGAUGAAGGCCUUCGGGUUGUAAAGCUCUUUCAGUAGGGAAGAUAAUGACGGUACCUACAGAAGAAGCUCCGGCUAACUCCGUGCCAGCAGCCGCGGUAAUACGGAGGGAGCUAGCGUUGUUCGGAAUUACUGGGCGUAAAGCGCGCGUAGGUGGUUUAGCAAGUUGGAAGUGAAAUCCCGGGGCUUAACUCCGGAACUGCUUUCAA
rnacentral:rRNA from 1 species